rnacentral:rRNA from 1 species
AUGCCCCAAAGUCUCAACGAUGAUGCAUACAUGUCAACUAUGGGUGUUGGCUCCAAUAUUUCGCAUUGGUCUCAAACGAAUGACAUGCAUUUCGAUGACCAUGAGUUCGAGGUGGACGAGGAUGGUGAGGGCAUUGUCGACGCACCGAAAGGAAGAGCAGGCAAUUACACCAACGUUGAAGACAUCUUACUAUGCAAUACUUGGUUGCAAGUGUCGAGGGAUCCAUCCGUUGGAGGUGAUCAAAGUAGAGAUGCUUAUUGGCUUCGGAUGAAGGAACACUUUGAUGUUCGCAACGCGAGUGGAAUUGACCGCUCCAAUCGAUCUCUUCACUCUCGGUGGUCGACAAUCAACAAGAAUUGUCAAAAGUGGGUGGCCGCACGAAAGGUGGUUGAUAAGUUGAACCCAAGUCGCACUAAUGAGGACGAUAGAUACAAUAUUGCACAAAACUUGUUCAAAGGAGAGGAGAAGAGGACCAAGAAGGGGAAGAUCAAGAAAGGAAGUCCAUUUACCUUGCCUCGUUGCUAUGACGUGUUGAAGGAUGAUGAGAAAUGGCAGAAGCGUGAUGAUAUAGAUGGUUUGGAUUUGAGCAACAAACGCAAGCGAACAAUCGAGUUGGAUGAUGAUGAUGAGGAGGAUGCAUCAAGUGAUGAUGGCAAAAGAAGCCCCACACCCAACUCGGUUUCAUACUCAAAGCCAAAACGGCCGGAUGGAACCAAGAAAGACGCAAAAGAAAAGAAGAAGAUGAUGAGCUCAAAAAUGCUAUGGAAUCUAUUGUGA